UGAGUCCACCUGUGUAGGUUCGGACCCGAGGAACCGAGGACCCCAGCAGUGAGUUCAGCUGCUUCUAAGUCAGUAAAGCUUCAGCCAGAGGUGAGUAGAAUAAACCUUUAUGUUUUAAAGCAAAUGAACUAUACAGUUGAGCAUGUUCAUGCAUCAUGAAUGCCAUGUAAUGAAUUAGGUUGUUUGCAUUUGAAAUCAUGAAUAUGUUGCAUUGCAUUUAUGAUGUUGAUGUGGAUUGGUUAUUGAAUGAUCCUUUAGUCCUCAUAUGGUAUGAUGAUGCUACGGCAUGAUAUGGUAUGGAAGUCCAGGUUGUACCCAUUCUACGUCCCUGGCACUAUGUAAGAGAAAGUCUAGGUUGUACCCAUUCUACGUCCCUGGCACAUUGGUAUGCAUGAUAUGUUAUGUUAAGAGAAAGACCGGUUGUACCCAUUCUACGUCCCGACACUUUGGAAUGUAGAGGACUAUUGGUGACAAUACCAUCCGAGAUGUGAUUUGUUGUGAUGUGUUGCAUUACAUGAUGGCAUGAGAUUUAAAUGUUUUCUAUUAUUCUGCUCACUGGGCUCUAGUAGCUCACCCCUUUUCCCUAAUCCCCCAGGAUUGCAGGUACGGGCUAGACAGAGAAGUCAAGAAGAGUAAAGUCUUAUGUUUGUAAUAGGUAGAUAGUGGACAUGGUAAAUUGUAUAAUGAUGUAAAGUUAAAUAGUUAUGUUAUGUAUAAUGAUAUUGAGGUUUAGAAGUGUGCUUGACCAUAGUUC
rnacentral:lncRNA from 1 species